GUGCCCAAGUAACACAAAACACAAUUAUAAGAAGCGUACAACAGCAUGAACCUACGUGCAGAGCAGUAUAUGAGCAGCAUAUGUAGCACUAUAUCAGCCGUAUAAAAGUCUAUAAGUGUCUUGUAAGCGCAAUUUGGGCCCCAAAUAAUACGGCUUUGAGCAUUAUUAAAUAUUAUUAGUGCUGCUAACCAGCGCUUAUAAUGUUAUUGAAGACAGACAUUAGUAAAGUUGUUAGACAGCAUAUUCUAAUGUAAAAAGCAUUUUAUUAGAUGUUAGUACAGCUUUGAAACAGCUUUCAGAAUUACAAUGCCAAAGUUACGUUUUAUGCUAAGGCUGAACGUUUUAUUUUGUUUGUUUGAAAGUAUUCGAAAAAACUUAUCGCAUUUUAUUGUCCGAUUUGAUUAUUUUUCGUUUAGAGUAUUGCAGUGCAAUGGUGUUGUGAGGAGAUGUUUUAAUGUCUUUAUUUAAAAUAAUUUAUCAUAAGAUGCCUUUUAAAAUAGUGCAAACGACCGAAAGGGAUGAAGGAAUGUUCUACGGAACUUCUUGACUCACACAACAACCGAUUGUACUGUAUUUUGUGUAUGAGGUGUAUCAUUUUUUGGAACACGUUUUGCAUUUCUUAAACCAAAUAUAAAGUUUGAAUAUUC